rnacentral:rRNA from 1 species
GGCUCAGGAUGAACGCUAGCGGCAGGCUUAAUACAUGCAAGUCGAGGGGCAGCACAGGUAGCAAUACUGGGUGGCGACCGGCAAACGGGUGCGGAACACGUACACAACUUACCUUCUGGUGGGGGAUAGCCUUUGGAAACGGAGAUUAAUACCCCAUAUUAUAUAUGAGCUGCAUGGUUUGUAUAUUAAAGAUUUAUUGCCGGAAGAUGGGUGUGCGUAUGAUUAGGUAGUUGGCGGGGUAACGGCCCACCAAGCCGACGAUCAUUAACUGGUGUGAGAGCACGACCAGUCACACGGGCACUGAGACACGGGCCCGACUCCUACGGGAGGCAGCAGUAAGGAAUAUUGGUCAAUGGACGGAAGUCUGAACCAGCCAUGCCGCGUGGAGGAUGAAGGUCCUCUGGAUUGUAAACUUCUUUUAUACGGGGCGAAAAAAGGGAAUUCUUUCUCGUCUGACGGUACCCUAUGAAUAAGCACCGGCUAACUCCGUGCCAGCAGCCGCGGUAAUA